UACGAAGGGGGCUAGCGUUGUUCGGAAUCACUGGGCGUAAAGCGCACGUAGGCGGCUUUGUAAGUCAGGGGUGAAAUCCCGGGGCUCAACCUCGGAACUGCCUUUGAUACUGCGGAUCUUGAGUCCGAUAGAGGUGGGUGGAAUUCCUAGUGUAGAGGUGAAAUUCGUAGAUAUUAGGAAGAACACCGGUGGCGAAGGCGGCCCACUGGAUCGGUACUGACGCUGAGGUGCGAAAGCGUGGGGAGGAAACAGG
rnacentral:rRNA from 1 species